GCAUAACGCGAAGAACCUUACCCACCUUUGACAUGUACGGAAUCCUUUAGAGAUAGAGGAGUGCUCGAAAGAGAGCCGUAACACAGGUGCUGCACGGCUGUCGUCAGCUCGUGUCGUGAGAUGUUGGGUUAAGUCCCGCAACGAGCGCAACCCUUGCCAUUAGUUGCUACGAAAGGGCACUCUAAUGGGACUGCCGGUGACAAACCGGAGGAAGGUGGGGAUGACGUCAAGUCCUCAUGGCCCUUAUAGGUGGGGCUACACACGUCAUACAAUGGCUGGUACAAAGGGUUGCCAACCCGCGAGGGGGAGCUAAUCCCAUAAAGCCAGUCGUAGUCCGGAUCGCAGUCUGCAACUCGACUGCGUGAAGUCGGAAUCGCUAGUAAUCGUGGAUCAGAAUGUCACGGUGAAUACGUUCCCGGGUCUUGUACACACCG
rnacentral:rRNA from 1 species